rnacentral:rRNA from 1 species
UACGUAGGGUGCAAGCGUUGUCCGGAAUUAUUGGGCGUAAAGAGCUCGUAGGCGGUCUGUCGCGUCGGAUGUGAAAAUCCAGGGCUCAACCCUGGACCUGCAUUCGAUACGGGCAGACUAGAGUUCGGCAGGGGAGACUGGAAUUCCUGGUGUAGCGGUGAAAUGCGUAGAUAUCGGGAGGAACACCAGUGGCGAAGGCGGGUACCUGGGCCUAUACUGACACUAAGACGCGAAAGUUAGGGGAGCAAACAGG